rnacentral:rRNA from 1 species
UACGUAGGGGGCUAGCGUUGUCCGGAAUCAUUGGGCGUAAAGCGCGUGUAGGCGGUCCGGUAAGUCCGCUGUGAAAGUCGAGGGCUCAACCCUCGAAUGCCGGUGGAUACUGUCGGGCUUGAGUACGGGAGAGGCGAGUGGAAUUCCUGGUGUAGCGGUGAAAUGCGCAGAUAUCAGGAGGAACACCGAUUGCGAAGGCAGCUCGCUGGAACGUUACUGACGCUGAGACGCGAAAGCGUGGGAGGCGAACAGG